UGUAUAAUGGGUCAGCGACUUAUAUUCUGUAGCAAGGUUAACCGAAUAGGGGAGCCGAAGGGAAACCGAGUCUUAACUGGGCGUUAAGUUGCAGGGUAUAGACCCGAAACCCGGUGAUCUAGCCAUGGGCAGGUUGAAGGUUGGGUAACACUAACUGGAGGACCGAACCGACUAAUGUUGAAAAAUUAGCGGAUGACUUGUGGCUGGGGGUGAAAGGCCAAUCAAACCGGGAGAUAGCUGGUUCUCCCCGAAAGCUAUUUAGGUAGCGCCUCGUGAAUUCAUCUCCGGGGGUAGAGCACUGUUUCGGCAAGGGGGUCAUCCCGACUUACCAACCCGAUGCAAACUGCGAAUACCGGAGAAUGUUAUCACGGGAGACACACGGCGGGUGCUAACGUCCGUCGUGAAGAGGGAAACAACCCAGACCGCCAGCUAAGGUCCCAAAGUCAUGGUUAAGUGGGAAACGAUGUGGGAAGGCCCAGACAGCCAGGAUGUUGGCUUAGAAGCAGCCAUCAUUUAAAGAAAGCGUAAUAGCUCACUGGUCGAGUCGGCCUGCGCG
rnacentral:rRNA from 1 species